GCAUGGGCUUGGAUUUCUGGCAGGCCCGCCCCCCCGGGGUCUCUCAUAGUGCCCCACGCCAAAGCAUCCUGGCCUGGAACCAUGGCCCGGCCUCUGCCCCUGGGCUGCAGGCACUGAAGCAGACUGCACAGUG